rnacentral:rRNA from 1 species
GUGAACGCUGGCGGUAGGCCUAACCCCUGCAAGUCGCACGGCAGCACAGUAAGAGCUUGCUCUUACGGGUGGCGAGUGGCGGACGGGUGAGGAAUACAUCGGAAUCUACUUUUUCGUGGGGGAUAACGUAGGGAAACUUACGCUAAUACCGCAUACGACCUACGGGUGAAAGCAGGGGAUCUUCGGACCUUGCGCGAUUGAAUGAGCCGAUGUCGGAUUAGCUAGUUGGCGGGGUAAAGGCCCACCAAGGCGACGAUCCGUAGCUGGUCUGAGAGGAUGAUCAGCCACACUGGAACUGAGACACGGUCCAGACUCCUACGGGAGGCAGCAGUGGGGAAUAUUGGACAAUGGGCGCAAGCCUGAUCCAGCCAUACCGCGUGGGUGAAGAAGGCCUUCGGGUUGUAAAGCCCUUUUGUUGGGAAAGAAAAGCGGCAGGUUAAUACCCCGCUGUUCUGACGGUACCCAAAGAAUAAGCACCGGCUAACUUCGUG